rnacentral:pre_miRNA from 1 species
AUUCUACUCCCUCCGUUGCACAAUACAUGCCUUCUAUUUGUCAAAAUAUAUAUGUAUCUAUACAUGUUUUAGUAUAUAGGUACAUCCAUUUUUGGACAAAUGGAAGUCAAGUAUUUUGGAACGGUGGGAGUACACA